AGUGAACGCUGGCGGUAGGCCUAACACAUGCAAGUCGAACGGCAGCACAGUAAGAGCUUGCUCUUACGGGUGGCGAGUGGCGGACGGGUGAGGAAUACAUCGGAAUCUACUUUUUCGUGGGGGAUAACGUAGGGAAACUUACGCUAAUACCGCAUACGACCUACGGGUGAAAGCAGGGGAUCUUCGGACCUUGCGCGAUUGAAUGAGCCGAUGUCGGAUUAGCUAGUUGGCGGGGUAAAGGCCCACCAAGGCGACGAUCCGUAGCUGGUCUGAGAGGAUGAUCAGCCACACUGGAACUGAGACACGGUCCAGACUCCUACGGGAGGCAGCAGUGGGGAAUAUUGGACAAUGGGCGCAAGCCUGAUCCAGCCAUACCGCGUGGGUGAAGAAGGCCUUCGGGUUGUAAAGCCCUUUUGUUGGGAAAGAAAUCCAGCCGGCUAAUACCUAGCUGGGAUGACGGUACCCAAAGAAUAAGCACCGGCUAACUUCGUG
rnacentral:rRNA from 1 species